rnacentral:lncRNA from 1 species
CGGCGCGGUCGUCGCACAGCCCACCGCCCUGUCGCGGUGCCUGGCGCGCCACCUGGGCGGGGAGCGGGGCAGCGGGGGUCCCCCCGGCGUCUGGCCCCCGGCGUCGGGGGCGCUGGCCUUCGUGCCCUCGGGUCGGCGGCCCCCGUCCCCGCUUGUCCCCUCCGCCGACCAGGGUCGUGUGCGCCGGGCCCCGUGUCCUCCCGGCGGCGGCGCGGGCGCUCCGGGCGGGACGGUGUGCGCAUUUCGCGAGGUCGGAGAAGUCUGGCUCUCCUAGCAGAAACCACCAGGAGCGCACUGCAGUGUGCCCCUCUCUCCUCCGGCCGCCUGACUUCCCUAAGGACUGUCCUCUGAUCUGCUUUCUGUGGAGAAGGGUCACUCGGAGGAUUUGAAAAGUGAGUUUGGUGGGUAUAGAAACUGAGUUUAAACUAUGCAAGGCUUUUUGGAGCUCAAGCAGGUAAGCCCUUCUGAGGUCUUGGAUUUGCCUUGAAGACUGCAGGCAGAUGGGUGGGGAAACGAAGUCGCUGCCUGAUGGAACCUGUGGUCACCGUCUUAUCCAUGAGACCUUGACUUUUGCUAUAACUUUCUUCCUGUUUGGGUAAAUCUUUUGAUAUUGUGCUCUAGAACUUUGCUGGUUUUCGAGAAAUCUGCUUUGGAAAUAUGGUAGUAUUUUAAUGUCUUACCUUUUUAAAGGGGAUUCUUAC